CUUCACCGAACCGAGCAGCAGUGGCCGGUCCCGGUCCUGCCCGUACGUCGCCAGCAACGCCUCGGCCUC
rnacentral:antisense_RNA from 1 species